rnacentral:lncRNA from 1 species
GCCAUUUUGCCUACAACAGGUGAAAUUUGUGGUCCUUAUGAGAGGUAGAAACAACAGUUUAAAAUGCCUGAACCAACGCAGGACUAAUUCAUUGAGUUUUGAGAAAUCUAAAAAUAAAUCUCAUGCUUCACAGGGCUAAGACCUGUGAGUUAAAGAAUAUGGAUUUGAGUACUGGCCUGGCCUUUAUUAACUUUCCAUCUUUGAGCAGAGUUUUCGACCUCGCUGAUUCUUGGUGUUUUCGUCUCCCCACAGCAGGAACAUUUGCUGAGCAUUUCUGAUGAAUCCGCAUUUUUGCUAAGCUCUCAGAAAUAAAAAAAUACAGCUGAAUGAAGAAGGCUCUACUUCCUGUUCCAGGAUUCUUACAGCUUGACUGGAAAAUGAGGGGGACUGGCUGCAGAAGGCCGCCGAGCUGGCCAGAAGCACAGUGCCCACGGUGUGGACAGCAGGAAGUGGUGCCUGUAGCAGCUCAAAACCUAUCCAUAAAGACAGAGUUUGGUCUCAUACAAGUGAAGAUUCCUGAUUUUUUUGUUUCUGAUAGCUCCACUUCUGGAUUUAUUAAAACUUUAAGGUACUUUUCUUGAGUAUAUACUCUGUGAAGAUUUUACAAAGAAAUGUUAAUAGUGGUAUGU